CCGCGGGGCAUGCCGGGGGCUGUAGUCCCUCGGCGUGGCGGGAGCCGUUCCUUUCUGGCGCUGUGGACAUGGGCGGGACCAAGAGAGACUCGAGGCUUGAUUCCACAUCUGUACAAUGGAGUUGAGCAGAGUGACAGGUGCUGCCCCAGUGGGAGGAGACCCCACUUGCUUUGCUCCAGUGGGCAGCUUUGAUAGGAGGGAAUCUUCUGGACUCCAUUCAGUGUAUGGCAGCAUGUGCCACCCCGCACCGUGCCAUCUCGUAUUGGAAAAGAACACAUUUUUCCUGUUUGGAUGUCUGACUACCCCUUCCUCAGAUGGCAAGACAAAGCUGAGAGUGUUCCUGGACAACCCAGUCAGUGGUGUGGUGAGAGAAAAUGUGGUGAGUAGAAGAGGGAUCUCAGGCUUUGUGGGAAGACCCAGUUCAAUGUCUGGCUCCUAUGUGCUCCUGACAAGCUCCUUCACCUAUGCUGAACCUCAGUCUCCUCAUCUGUAAGAUAGGAACAACCAUAAAGUACAUUUUGGCCACUAGAAGGAGUUCAUAGAUGUCUUGUAUCCAAAAGAAGGAGGCAUUGUUUGUACAGGUUCUCAGUUGUAGCCAUUGGCAGUCCCAAAGGUCAGGGCUUUCCUGUUAUGAGCAGCCACUCAGUUUGUCCAGGGAUGAAGAACUUCCUGGAUGCAGGCUUGCAGGCCAGCGCUGGGACAGUUCUGGGCAAACCAGGCCAGUUGGUCACUGUAGUUUGAGCACUGAGCCUGUGAAGGAAACCAUCCUUCUGGGGCACUUGUCCUGUUGUCGCCAGGGGAGCAGAUGUGAACAGUGAGAUAUGGGCACAGAAUAUUUUUAUUAGAAAAUGUUUAGCAGUAGUAAUCUUAGUUGUGGUAUUUUUUGUAGUAAUACCAUUAUUGAGAUAUAAUUUUUAUUCACAUACAAGUAACCCAUUUAAAGUUUACAAUUCAACAGAUUUUAGGAUAUUCACAGUUGUCUAAUUAUUACCAAUGUCAAUUUCAGAGUACCUUCAUCAUCCCAGAGAGAAAUUGCAGACCCUACAGCUAUCAUCCCUAAGCGCCAUCUCACACACAAUUUUCCCCUCACUCCCAGCCUGGGAAACCACUAACCUACUUUAUAGAUUUGCCUACUCUGGACAUUUCAUAUAAGUGAAAUUGUGUGAUAUGUGGUUUUCUCUACUAUGUCUCCCACUUAGCCCAAUGAUUUCUUCAAGGCUCAUCCAAGUUGUAGCACAUUCAAGUUUUCAUUGCUUUUUUGCUGAAUCAUUAGUCGUUGUAUGGAUAGACCACAUUUAGUUUUUCCAUUCAUCAGGUGGUAGAGACUUGGGUUGCUUCCACCUUUGGCUAUUGUGAACAAUGUUGCUAUAAACCAUCAUGUGCAGGUUUUUAUGUGGCUGUGUGUUUCAUUUCUCUUGGGCUACAUGCCCAGGAAUGGGAAUUUUGGAUCAGAUGGUAACUCUACACGGAACUUUAUGAGGAUUUGCCGGGUUGCUUCCCAGAGUGACCAUGCCAUUUUACAUUCUCAACAGCAGUGUAGGAGGGUUCCAAUUUCUCCACAUCAUCACCCAACACUGACUAUUAUCUUUUUGAUUAUAGCCAUCCUAGUGGGUUUGAAGUGGUAUCUCAUUGUGAGCAGUCUUGUCUGGAAGUUGCAUUUGCAUAGCAAGCACAUUUAGUCACUUAGACUACUUAGGUUCAUUUGUGGUGACUGAUGGAGGUUCUGGGAGCUUAACCCUUGGUCCCUCCAUUAAGUUCUGGCUGCCUUCUUUAUCAGAGGAGUGCCUGCAGGGGGUGGAUUAGGCCAAGGAGCUAAGAUCCUUUACGGAGAGUUCCCCACUUCCCCCUUCAUGUCUCUGAUUUCCCCUUUCCUUACCCCCAUCAUAUGGACUGAUAUGAAGGUGAGUUGCAGGGAGAAGUUGCUGCUCAGUUCUUCUAAAACCUACUUUAGGUCAAGGAAUCGAUUGGAAGUGGCCCGAUGAACUCACUGGGUUUCAGUCCAAAUGGGCUACUGUGACAAAAUACCAUGAACUGGGUGAUUUGUCAAUAACAGAAAUGUAUUGGUCACUUGUCUAAACAAGAUAAGAGUCAGAGAACUCAGAGGGCUUCCAUAGCCUUGGAAACUCAUGACUGGAGCAUAGGGAGAUUACUGAUGCCAUAGACAGGAGUGUCAAUUUGUAAAGUCAACAAUAGGAGUCACUGUGCACUUACUCCUCAUGUAGGAUCUCUGUCCUUAAUGUGCUGUACAUUGAGAUUUAAUGCUAUAACGAGUACUCAAACAGUAUAUUUCACUUUGUGUUUCUAUGGGGGUGCAAACUGUUGAAAUCUUUACUUAAUGUAUACUAAACUGAUCUGUAAAAAAAAAAAAAAAAAAAGAAAUUAUCAAUUCCCAACUUGACUCUCACUGGGAUUAAACAUGACAAUAGGUCUGAUCUGAUUUCAUCAUCAUUUAAAAAAUCAUCUAUUAUUUUUCACUUUAUGUUUCUGUGUGGGAGCAAACUGUUGAAA